AACGAACGCUGGCGGCAUGCCUAACACAUGCAAGUCGAACGAGAUCUUCGGGUCUAGUGGCGCACGGGUGCGUAACGCGUGGGAAUCUGCCCUUUGGUUCGGAAUAACAGUUGGAAACGACUGCUAAUACCGGAUGACGACGAAAGUCCAAAGAUUUAUCGCCAGAGGAUGAGCCCGCGUAGGAUUAGCUAGUUGGUGUGGUAAAGGCGCACCAAGGCGACGAUCCUUAGCUGGUCUGAGAGGAUGAUCAGCCACACUGGGACUGAGACACGGCCAAGACUCCUACGGGAGGCAGCAGUGGGGAAUAUUGGACAAUGGGCGAAAGCCUGAUCCAGCAAUGCCGCGUGAGUGAUGAAGGCCUUAGGGUUGUAAAGCUCUUUUACCCGGGAUGAUAAUGACAGUACCGGGAGAAUAAGCUCCGGCUAACUCCGUGCCAGCCGCCGCGGUAA
rnacentral:rRNA from 1 species